CGCGUAGGCGGCCUUGUAAGUUGGGGGUGAAAGCCCGUGGCUCAACCACGGAAUUGCCUUCGAUACUGCUUGGCUUGAGUGUGGUAGAGGUUGGUGGAACUGCGAGUGUAGAGGUGAAAUUCGUAGAUAUUCGCAAGAACACCGGUGGCGAAGGCGGCCAACUGGGCCUGCGCUGACGCUCAUGCACGAAAGCGUGGGGAGCAAACAGGAUUAGAUACCCCUGUA
rnacentral:rRNA from 1 species